UACGGAGGGUGCAAGCGUUGCUCGGAAUCAUUGGGCGUAAAGCGUACGCAGGCUGUUCGUUAAGUCGGGUGUGAAAGCCCAGGGCUCAACCCUGGAAUGGCGCCCGAAACUGGCGGGCUUGAGUGCGGGAGAGGGAAGCGGAAUUCCUGGUGUAGAGGUGAAAUUCGUAGAUAUCAGGAGGAACACCGGUGGCGAAAGCGGCUUCCUGGCCCGACACUGACGCUCAUGUACGAAAGCGUGGGGAGCAAACAGG
rnacentral:rRNA from 1 species